AGCCCCAGGUAACAUCUCCCUGUUGAUUGCUCGAGAGGAGAAAUGGGGGAGCUUGAAUAUGAGAAUGGGAGUGGUCAGCUGUCUUUGCUUGGCCUUUUGAAUUGGCUGUUUUCUCCAUGGAGGGCUCUCUGGAAACAGGAGCUCUGGCCCUGACAUGGUGAGGGACAGACAGCAUGGGACUGUGCAGAGACUCUCCGGCAUUCCGCUGAGUGCCCUGCUGAGGUUGAAGGGAAUGGUAUACAGAGAAAGGGGCUGCUAUGGUCAAGGCGUGUCUCCCCAGAGAGCCUCCGCUGCCCACCCCUCAGAGGAUUCUGGGUCCUCGCUUAUAGGGGACUAUUCCCUUCUAGAGGGGCCAAGAGAGCAUCCUCAUGAGAUGGGGCUCUCCCUUCCUUCCUGCACCCUCAGUACUUCAAGUAUGAGUUCCCUGAAGGCGUGGACUCGGUAAUUGUCAAGGUGACCUCCAACAAGGCCUUCCCCUGCUCAGUCAUCUCCAUCCAGGAUGUGCUGUGUCCUGUCUAUGACCUGGACAACAAUGUAGCCUUCAUCGGCAUGUACCAGACGAUGACCAAGAAGGCGGCCAUCACUGUACAGCGCAAAGACUUCCCCAGCAACAGCUUUUAUGUGGUGGUGGUGGUGAAGACCGAAGACCAAGCCUGCGGGGGCUCCCUGCCUUUCUACCCCUUCGUAGAAGAUGAACCGGUUGAUCAA
rnacentral:sRNA from 1 species